rnacentral:rRNA from 1 species
UGGGGAAUAUUGCACAAUGGGCGAAAGCCUGAUGCAGCAACGCCGCGUGAGCGAAGAAGGUCUUCGGAUUGUAAAGCUCUGUCCUUGGGGAAGAUAAUGACGGUACUUGAGGAGGAAGCCCCGGCUAACUACGUGCCAGCAGCCGCGGUAAUACGUAGGGGGCUAGCGUUAUCCGGAUUUACUGGGCGCAAAGGGUGCGUAGGUGGUCUCUUAAGUCAGGAGUGAAAGGCUACGGCUUAACCGUAGUAAGCUCUUGAAACUGGGAGACUUGAGUGCAGGAGAGGAAAGUGGAAUUCCUAGUGUAGCGGUGAAAUGCGUAGAUAUUAGGAGGAACACCAGUAGCGAAGGCGGCUUUCUGGACUGUAACUGACACUGAGGCACGAAAGCGUGGGGAGCAAACAGGAUUAGAUACCCUGGUAGU